GACGCGUUGCAUUUAUAAUUCAUUGAAUGCCGAGCAGUGGCGGCGACAGGAAGAGUAAAUGCGGCGUAUCUAUUCACUGCACUUUUCAAAGGCCCUCGAACGGCGCAACUGUCGUCCAUUAAAAUCGAUGCGUCCUCGAAAAAGUUGUGCCGCGGUUGCAAAGUCGCCGGAAGAUUCGCCGUUCAUCUCCGUUUUAUUCGAGCCACUCGCCAUGGAUGAUUGUGUCAACGGCCGCGACGUUAUAAUAAAAGUGUCGAACGCCGCUGCAAUUUACUGUCACGUAAUUUACAUCCAUGUAUCUCGGCGGGAUGAUACAAAAGCGGCACGCGCGAUUCAGCCCGUUCCACUUGAUCGUAUCAUUUGUCCCCUUUUGAAUUACUUCAAAAAUCUGCACGUAAUAAAUUUUUGCACAAUUGUUUAUCGCGUUUCAAUUUCUUGUAUAAAACACAUUGGAAUCGUUGUGUAACCCAUUAAUGACCAGAGUCUAUUUGUGAGACAUUGCCUCGUAUUUAUCGAAUAAGAUCACUUGAUUAAUCUAUCAUUUUAUUUUAUUUUUAUGUUUUCAGAGAAAGAGAGAGCACCUAACUUUCAGUUAUGUCUUCAAUAAAAAUAAUUGUAAUAUUAGCCUCAGAUCUUUCGAAUACAAAUAGUCUGACCGUUUCAUUAAAAACGUUUGCUGAAAAUUGUGGCCUCUAAUAGAUUAACUGCGAUAUCUUCUAAAGAGAUAUUUUCCACGCGCGUACUAUUGAAAACCUUUUAAAGAACAAGACAUCACGAGCGCGACAAACAAAUUAUUCCUCGAGACAUUCAAUCCGCAAACAAGCCGUGCAACACAUCCGUGUUCAAACCACAGGAGCAGGAGUGAGAAGAGAUCGAGAAAUAGAUCAGGCGAAAAAGAGAGCGCGUACGUCACGAGGACGUCGAGUGGAACGUACGAUUCGCGAAGCAAUUUUUCAAAAACCUGGAGGAUUGUGUCGUGUGCGCGCGAACACAUAGGCACGUGUGGAACACGUGUGUGCCUGUGUCAAAGCACUUACCAGCUGGCACGAUAUGGUAGACGCAGGGCUCGAGCUGAGUGCCCUGGUCAUUGCUGCCCCAGCAAAGGAGAGUGCCAUAGUCCAACUCGGUCAUUGGUGAACGAUACUUCCGGCGGGUUCGCCUCCAGUUCGCAGGGGAUGCUCGCGGUCUCCUGCCGCGCCACGCCGAAUACCUUCGUCUGGCCGUGUUGGCAUACCGGUACGACUGGAAAUCAGAGAAGCAUGGAGAAGAGGAUUAGCGAGGCGACACGCGGCGAUUUUGGUCAAAGCUUUAGCCGGCAGGAGACAAUUCUGGCGUAGUUGAAUAAUAAAAGCGGUUUUUGCACCGAUACUGCGCCCGCAAAAAGAAAAGAAUAAAAUGAUUAAAAAAUUUCGUUAAUCGCGAUCCAACUUUCUUUGCUAUAAUUUGCGUCCCUUUUCAUCGACCAUUUUUGUCGAAAUGACUUUAAUCUCUCGGCUUCAGGCUUGAUUACGAUAUUCAAUAUCGAAGAGCUGCAGAAACCGCGAUGAGAUAUUUUACGACAGCGGAAAUGAUUACAUCACUUUGAGACAUAAAUAUCACCGGUCUGUUUAUUAUAUAAAUUGCGUCUAUCAGCGAACGCGCUCUGUGUACGCACGGAUGAUCAGGGUGAAUGAAACGGAGAUAGCUCGAUUGAUCGACUAUUAAUCCGGGCGCGGAUUAAUGAUGGAUAAUUUAUGCGUAUUAAAGCUAUUAAAUACUAAUGAGCGCAGCUGGUAUGCGAACGCUGGCAAAUGUCAGUCAGUCGGUCAUAAGCCAUGCACAGACUUCAGGUAGAGCUGGUUGGCUGUAUAUGUAUGUGUGUCUGUUCUGUGUGUGUGUGUGUGUUUCUGCGUGUGUAAAGCAUCCUGCGGAAUGAUUUAACGCUCACUGAACCGUACACAGUGUAAGACACUUUACACGGAUAAAAUGCGCGGAAAAGACCGUAUACAUCACUACAAUAAAUUCACACUAGCCAACUUCGAGACAUACGGCGAAGACGGCGAUAUUUUUUCGCCGGCGUAUCUUUCUGUUGCUUUAUUAUCGAGUGCGACCUACAGGAGCUGUGCAUAUAUCUUAUGAAUGAAUCACUUUCGCGCCGAUGACAAAGCGUCUUCGAGGGAAGACGAACGAGGAUGUCGAACGUUAGAGAAAAUCGUCCAUAAUUAAUCCCUUAAGUAAUAUACUAGAAAAAGUUUCGUGGAAAAAUAUUAUACAUCUCUAUUUUGACUUACUUAAACUAUUGUAUUUCUUUAGCUCUCUUUUUUGUCAAUCCCUCGAGUAGUAUGCCCGAAAAUGUCAUGAUAAAACUAUUAAAUCUCUUAUGAUUGACUUAAAUUAUUGUAUUUCUUCAAUUCGUAGCAAAUGAAAAUCAAAUACAUUUCGAUUAAGUGACUUAGAUUCUAUUUGCCAAAAUUCCUCAAAGAAAAUGGCAAUAAAGGGAAAAGAAUCUAGAUAAAAAAUCUAGAUAAAAAAUCUUAUUAAAAAAAUUGCAUUCUGAAGAAAAUCGUACGACCGUUUUAAGUCUUCAUUGAGAAGGUUGAAAACACGUGACAUGACAAACAGAUAAUAUCUUAAUCACCAGCUCACUUAUUAUAUACGAGCUUUCAACUAAUUGCGCAGAGCGCGAGCGUUUCGCUAUUAUGCAUGUGAUAUAUUUCGAGUUUUAUAACUCGUAUAACGCUUGAGACUAAUAUUGAGCUUAUAUUCUUUUUUUACAACACACCGAAAGAGCUGUCAAAACUUGCUUAUAGUUUAAGGUUAAUGCGUGCAUACAAAAUUGACUUACGGCUGCCCUUCACGUUGUUUCUUCGCAGAGCGCGAGCCUUUAUGAAACAUUGUUUUCUUUUAUAGUGCACGAUCCCGAGAUAUUAAACGUCGAUAUGAAGCGGAGAUCUCUCUUUCUCUCUCUCUCGCGCGCGUGCACGCUCCAAAUACACGGACAUUUCCUCCUACGCGUAGGAUUUAUGUCCCUCGUAAACAAAGCUAACUCCUAAGCUGAUUUAACGUCGAUCCGCGCGCAUACCGGUGCGUCAGUAUCAGUUACGUGUCAACGCUGCGCGAACGCAGUGACACAGAAGUUAACUCAAGUGCCUGGACUUCGGAGAAACUUUAGAUCCAGAAGACUGCACGGCGCAUUUUCUUAUUUUUCCCGAUUGCAACAGUCAUGUUCUCACAUCGGCAAGAAAAUAGAACGCUGAAAAAAUACAGGUUCCAAGAGCGCGUUGGGCUAAUUCCCAAGAGAGAGAAAGAGAGAGAACACGUCCCUCGGUUGCGUCUGCAUUUUUUCUGCGGCCAAAAAUAUUGGGAAGAAGUCGUGGAAAAUCGUCUCGCGAGGAAAUCGUUUGUAGCUCGUCGGUCGUCUCGAAUGAGAAGAAAGUGUAGUGUUCGAAAGAUAUUGCGGAUGUCUACGUUACAACGUCGAAUGAAUGACGCCGCCAGUAGUCGGACUUAAUUAGAGCGCCGAUGUAGAUUAUGGCGGAUGACAUGCGGGAAAUGUAUGUAACGGAUACUCACACUUUAUGUCC